UAAGGAUUCCAUUUAGGUGGGUGAAAUACGGGAGAUUUUUAUUUGCAUCUUUCGACUUUUCCAGGUUUUCUACAUCGAUCAUCUAAUCCUUUCGUAACAAUAACAGCAUCAACUACAAGAAUCACAAUUCAAAAUAAAAAAAGUCACCAUGAUCUUUGAUGAGGGAUGGAUAUCCAGAGCCAUAAAGAUGCCCACAACUUCUGACCCCGUCGUUUCUCUCCCAGGAAUCUGUCCUGAGGAGACAAUUCUGCUUUCAGAAAAAGCUCUUGGCAGGAAAACGUUUACUGCAGACAAAACGCCGGAAGACACCUAAAUGCAAACAGUGGAGUAAAGAUCACAGAAAAUGUGGCUCAGCCACUCGAUGCCACUGUGUACUCAUUAAGACAGAAAAUUAUGACAAAAGCAUGCACUGCAACAUUAAAUGGAAAACUCAGGUUUACAAUUAAAUGUAAAGUAUGACUAUAACAGGUUUAAAAAAAUACCGUAGGUUUUGGAAAAAAUACACGAGGAACAUAAGCAGAAUGAGCUCAGAGUGGAGUGGUGGGAUCGUGAGUGAAUUUUUUUCUGGAUUUCCUAACACUUUCUGUAAUGUACUUAUCUUGCUUUUAUAACUUAAAAAGCAUCCUCCGGGGCUGUUUAUCUGGGAAGUUGGUUCUAACCACCUGCCCUCUAAGCCUCAGUCCCCCGGGGAAGGCUGGUGGAGAACCAGCCGGAUGUUGGCAGUGGAACAAGAAGGAAGUGUCCAUCAGUGAGGGCCUGAUGAGGCCUGAGUAACGAACUCCAGGGCUGACUCAGCCGUGAGUAGGUGAGAAGAAACUGCUGGGCCCAGCAGGGAUUGAGGCCGGAAUAGGGAGAUAAGGAGCUCGGAGCACACAAUUCAGCCACGAUCAGUCAACAGACCGGUUCCAGGGGACAGACGUCAAACCCCUCGUCCCUGCAGGGCUGAGGAGAACUGUGGUGGUGGAUGCCCAGGCUGAGGGUGGCAGCAGGCAGCCUGAAGAGGGGAAGCACCCAGGAUAGGAUGUGAGUUCUGAGCUGCCGAUCCUUAACCAAGGAGGCUGGGAUUGACCAGGGGGCCCCCAGGCCCCUUCUAGCUCCCAGUGUCUGGGAUCUGUGCUGCCCUUUGUCCUGAAAUUCUCUUCCUCAUCCUCCAAGGUGUGGCCCAAAUGCUGUCACCUCUGUGAGGCCUUCCUUCAUUACCCCUGCCUGGGCUGCAUGUCUGUGGUCUGUGUGUCCACAGCUCAGUACUUGAAAACCAGUUUAGAACUGACUUGUUCCAUCUGAAAACAAACAGAAUAAACAUCUGAUGGCUAAGGAGCACUUGGGAUCUGCCAGAUACUGUGCUCGGCUGCCUGUUGUCAAGAGGUGGGUUAGUCUGUCCUCUGACAACACGGUCUGUGUAAUUCUGUCUGGUACUUAUUACCGCAUCGCAAACCAUCCCAACACUUAGCGGCUAAAACAACCACCACCUUUAUUUUACUCCUCUUUAUGGUGACAGCUGGGACAGCCAGAGGCUGGGGCAGGAAUCAUCUGAAAGCUCGCUCACUCCCACGGCUGGUGGUUGGUCCUGGCUGUUGGCUAGGACCUCAUGUGGGCCCAUUGGCUGGAGCACCCACACAUGGCCUCCCUCUCUGUGGCCUGGGCCCCUCAGAGGAGGGCGGCGGGGAGUGGGGGUGGGGAGAGAGCGCUAGAGAGGAGGAAGUUCGAUUGCCUUUUAUGACAUAGCCUCAGGAGUCACACAGUGUCGUUCUGCUGUAUUUUCCUGAUGAGAAUUGAGUUGCUAAGGGUCACCCAUAUGCAAAGGAAGGGGAAUUGUUUUCCGCCGUUUGAUGUGAGGAAUGUCAGAGAACUUGCACCCGGUUUUCCCUACUGUGGCCUUCAUUAUUCCCCUCCUCCCUGUGCCUAGCACAGAGCCUUGAACAAAAUAUUAGCCAAAAUUGUCAGUUGAGUUGAAUUGCCUUUUGGUUUGGCAUAGACCUGGGUCUGGAGGAUAGCUUGGUGUGAACCCACUUUCUUCUACUUAUGUCAUUCAGAAACACAAAACUCUCAGAGAAGUAAUUGAUUUUGUGUCUCUGGCCGUCCACAGCUUGGGAUUUGGGUAGGUCAAGGUAACUGUCUGUACUCUGUCCCCAGUGUCCCUGCCAAGCUUUCCCCCAGUGCUCCGUAACCUGGGGUCCUGUGGUUCAAUCAGACAGGCGCCUGCACCGUCUCACGGUGGGGACAGCCCCGUUCUACCUCCUGGCCUUUGCUCAGUUGGUUCUCCCGGCCUGGGAUGUCCUCUCCUCUUCUUUCCACUUCCCAAGUGCUCUCCAGCCUUCACGACCCACCUCGAGGAGCUUUCUCUCUCGGCCUUUCCCUCUCACCCCCAGCAACCCCUUCCCCACCAUCGCCUCAGAAGAGAAGAGACUGGCAGACUUGUAUCUCCAAAGCUGCAGCCCCGAGCCCUUAGGGAGCCCAGGGCAGCAAACAGUUGCCCUGGCACCAGGCGGGGGCAGUGGCUGAGCGAGGAAAGCUGGCGGCCAGCUGGACUGCAGGAAGGACCACAGCCAGCCGGUCUAGCCGAAGGGGGCAGCUCGUGCUUCAGUUGCCAUCGGGGGAAUUAAAGGAUACCUCAUCUCUUCUUUCCAGGGAAGCAGAAAGGGUGGAGGGCUGCCCCCAGGGGCUGGGGAAUCUGGAAAGAAAAAGAAAAAGACAAUGAAGCUUAAUAUGAAGCCCGUGGGAACAGGAGUCCCAGCCUGUGACAAGGGCUCCUGGCCUCUCUCAUUCCAACAUUCCACCACCAGCCGUUUAUGGAGGACCUAUGAAGUGUAACCCUGCACUAGGGGCUGGAUUUGGGGCCAUUAGGAUAUCUGCCACGCCAGAGACUCAGGCCACCAACUUCUUAUUCUUGGACCUGCCUUGGAGGACAUCUGCCUGAAGCUGAGAGAAUCAGGCGUCCUGCCUCCCGUUUUCCCGGGGAUUUCCAGCUCCGGCUCUUCAGCCUCAGCUAGGUGACGUGGGGCAGGUCCCCUUCUGCUCACCAAGACUGCGAAGAAGCCGGGCUCAGGCUCAGCUUGAGCGCCCUGUCCACGAACACCAGGCUCGAGAAUUUAGAUCUUUGCUCAACGAACAGAUCACGUGAAUGUGACAUAGUAACACCAGGAAAUACGCUCCCUGACCCAGGUGGUAUCCCCUUAGGUGCUGGUUUAUCUUCUGGGGAUGAGGAAGCCCUUCUGGGAACCCCUUUGGGGCUGACAAAAAUUCAGGCAUUGUCGGGAAUGUGGAUUAAGCUGUUCUGAUUGCAGGGGCAGAUCCAUGUUUCGAUAUUUUCCCCAUGGUUACAGCUCGAGAUUUUGAUGAGCUGUCUGAGUGUUUACAGAAGCACGAUGUUUUCAGGAGCAGCUGAGAGAGUCUUUU
rnacentral:lncRNA from 1 species